GACGUAGGGCGCGAGCGUUGUCCGGAUUUAUUGGGCGUAAAGAGCUCGUAGGCGGCUUGUCGCGUCGUUCGUGAAAACCUGCAGCUCAACUGCAGGCUUGCGGUCGAUACGGGCAGGCUAGAGUUCGGUAGGGGAGACUGGAAUUCCUGGUGUAGCGGUGAAAUGCGCAGAUAUCAGGAGGAACACCAGUGGCGAAGGCGGGUUUCUGGAGAGUUCCUGACGCUGAGGCACGAAGGCCAGGGGAGCAAACGGG
rnacentral:rRNA from 1 species